UACGUAGGUGGCAAGCGUUGUCCGGAUUUACUGGGCGUAAAGAGCGCGCAGGCGGUCGAUCAAGUCGCGUGUGAAAGCCCCCGGCUCAACUGGGGAGGGUCACGCGAUACUGACCGACUCGAAGGCAGGAGAGGGUAGUGGAAUUCCGGGUGUAGUGGUGAAAUGCGUAGAUAUCCGGAGGAACACCAGUGGCGAAGGCGACUUUCUGGCCUGUUCUUGACGCUGAGGCGCGAAAGCUAGGGGAGCAAACGGG
rnacentral:rRNA from 1 species